rnacentral:RNase_P_RNA from 1 species
GCGGAUGGCCGGAUGACCGCGGCAGCGAUGUCGAGGAAAGUCCGGACUCCAUGAAGGCACGGUGCCGGGUAACGCCCGGCGGGGGCAACCCCAGGGAAAGCGCCACAGAGAUGAGACCGCCCAUGCAGGCAUGGGCAAGGGUGAAACGGUGGGGUAAGAGCCCACCGCGGGGCUGGCAACAGUCCCGGCAUGGCAAGCCCCACCGGGAGCAAUGCCGAAUAGGGACCGCGCGUCGCAAGACAGGGCCGCCUUUGCCCCAGCAGGUCCGGGUUGGCAGCUAGAUCCCGUCAGCAAUGGCGGGGCCAGAGGAAUGGUCAUCGAAGGGGGCGACCCCGGAACAAAAUCCGGCUUACAGGCCAUCCGCGCGU